ensembl:lncRNA
AUGGAACUCGUAAGCAAAAAAAGUUUUGUUCGGCAGUACUUUCAACCAAAAGAAGGCGAUUCAAGUCGAGCUACAUGUUCAAUUUGCAAUGCAGAUUUGUCUCGUGGUGGCAAGGACCCUAAGCAGUACACAACAUCGACGCUGUUAAAACAUUUGCGUCUAAAACAUCCAGAAGAAUAUGAGUUGUGCAUGAAAGAAUCUACAGACAGCAGCCAAAAUGCAGCAACUUCAGGUACGGCAGAGGAAGGACAGUCACAGCUAAAAAUGUGUGCUAACCAGAUGACCAUUAGUAGCUUUGCUAGCCCUACACCGAACAAACAGUGGCCCUCAGAUCACACACGAGCUAAAGCCAUUCAUGUAGCAGUUGGGAAAAUGAUAGCCAUUGACUUGCAGCCCUAUAGCAUAGUGGAAGACACUGGAUUCAACGAGCUACUCCAUCUGCUUGAAAAAAUCAUCCCUGAAAUGCACAAGUCCAUCACUUCCCUCAUAAAAGAACACGUUGCCGAAGCACAUGCUUUAGCAUUUACAUGCGACAUAUUGACUUGUGAGUUCACUACACAGUCCUACAUCAGUUUUACCUCACAUUGGAUUGUUGCUGAUUUUAAGCGCACACAUGCUAUUCUUCAAUUUGAAGCAUUCAAUGAAAGCCACACCGCAUUAAACAUUGCUGAUGCACUGCAAGAAAUUAUCAAAGCGUGGGACAUACCUGAUAUCAAGGUUCGCCUGGUCUUGAGGGACAAUGCUGCAAACAUUACUAUGUGUUUCCAGAUCCCUACUAUCACUACCACUCGCAAACCAUGCAUCACACAAUGUAGGCAGCGCAAUCCUAACAACCUGCACACUCUGCCUAUGUCUGCUAAUACACUAUCUUUUUCUAUUGGUCUCUGGAAUUGCCAGUCUGCUGUAAACAAAGCCAAUUUCAUUACUUCUAUUAUUAGUCAUUCAAAGCUUAAUCUCAUGGCCCUGACAGAGACCUGGAUCAAACCAGAGGACACUGCUACACCUGCAGCCCUCUCCAAUAAUUUCUCAUUUUCCCACUCCCCCCGUUUGACUGGAAGAGGUGGAGGUACUGGUCUGCUCAUCUCUAAUGAUUGGAAAUUUAAUCCUUUACCAUCUUUGGGUAUCAACAGUUCCUUUGAAUCUCAUUCCGUUACUGUUACCUACCCUCUUAAAAUACAUUUUGUAGUUGUCUAUCGACCCCCAGGACCACUAGGUAACUUUUUGGAUGAAUUAGAUGUGCUGCUCUCAACCUUUCCUGAGGAUGGUACUCCCCUAGUUAUGCUUGGAGAUUUCAACAUCCACCUAGAUAAACCUCUAUCUGCUGACUUCCACACUCUGCUUGCCUCUUUUGAUCUCAACCGAGUGUCAACUACUGCUACUCACAAAUCAGGCAACCAACUGGACCUUAUUUACACACGACACUGCUCCACUGAUCAUGUACUGGUUACUCCACUGCACACCUCAGAUCACUUCCUCCUCACUCUUAACCUCAACAUGGUUCCUGACACAUCAUUUACCCCUCCACAUGUCAUCUUUCGACGUAACCUACGCUCACUCUCACCCUCCCGGCUAUCUGCAAUGGUUUCAUCUUCGCUUCCUUCCCCUAAAAUGUUAGCAUCUUUUGAUGCUAACAGUGCUACUGAUACUUUCUGUUCCACUCUUACAUCUUGUUUAGACACUGUUUGCCCCUUGUCUUCCAGGCCAGCCCGUACCACCCUUCAACCCCUUGGUUAUCUGAUGUUCUGCGCGAACACCGUUCUAAGCUUACAGCUGCUGAAAGGGUGUGGCGCAAAUCCAAAAAUACUACUGACCUUAAUGUGUAUCAGUCACUCCUCUCUUCCUUUUCUGCUAAUGUCUCCACUGCUAAAAAGACAUACUACCAUAACAAAAUUAACAAUUCGUCUAACUCUCGCAUGCUUUUUAAAACAUUUUCCUCGCUCCUUUGUCCUUCUCUUCCCCCUCCUGCUUCAUCUCUAA